AACUGUGAAAGGCAAGUUAAGAUUUGCUCAUAAACUGAAUGUUGGGAUGAAAAAGUGGAUGACACCAAGAUUUUCAGCUUGAAUGAAACUAUUGAAGGCUAGGAGUUGAUAUUUAUUAAGAUGGGUGCGCUAGUAAAAGGAUUUGAGGGGAAAGAUUAGGGGUUUUGAACUUGUAAAAAUUGAGAUGCUGUAGACACACAGACACAUCCAAGAAGAAAAGUCAAAUAGAUAGUUGAAAUCCAGUGUUCCCAGGGUAUGUGGGCUAAAUAUAUUUUGGGCUUCUAUCAGCAUAUAGAUACUAGACUAACUGAGAUCAGGAGUCACUGCAGAUAGAGCAGGGGUCCAGAAUUGAACAUUGGGACAUUCCAAAUUUAGAGGUUGGAAGAAUGAGGAAGGACCAGUGGACAUGAAGAGCAGCAAGGCAGAAGUGAGAUACUGAAAGAUGGGAAGUUCAUAAGGAAGAAAGUGAGCAAUUCAUCAAAUUCUAACAUGGGAUUGAAAAUUGAUCACAGGAAGUGGUUGCAUGAGGCUGGAGUAAAGGGAGUUGCGGACAAGGCAGCAUGGUGACCAGCAGAGUGAGGAAAGGAGAUGAAAUAGAGAAAUAAAAUUUCUCUUGGACUUUCACACUGGAAAAUGACAAGCCAUUCUGUGGAUCAAUAAUGUACUUGGUGCUCCCAUGAAGCUGGGAGCCGAGGCAGAGGCUCAUGAGUUUGAGGCUCUCAACGAGCUCCCCAGCACUGCGAGAGGCCAGCUGCAUGGAGUUGCUGGGGCCGGCACAGCGGCGUGUGGUACCCGAUGUAUUGGUGGGGUUGCCACCCGAGCCGCUGGAGGGACUGCCCCCACCAGCAUUGUUCUCACUGGGGCUGGCCUUGUCCACCCCUCCACUGGCAUUGCUUGGCUUGCUCUGGCCCCCGCCAUCCCCCUCACUGCCAGGGGGCCCCUCGCUGCUAUCCCGUCGGUGCCAGGAGUAGGUGAACCCGCUAUCUUUAUCGAGCCGCCGCCGGCUUUCAGAAUCAUCAUCACUGGUCUCCGAACUACUGCAGCUGGAGCCCCGGCCCUGACUUUUCCUCCGGUGGUAGCGUUUGUGAACUGUACCUGGAGAAGCUAUAUUCAUCUUUAACCUGCUCAACUUGGGAGGCAGAUUCUCAUCCAUGUCAAACUCAUCGUCAGAUUCCCCUUCCUCAAAGAUCUGGUUGAGGACGGGCGCACUCUUCCUGGAUGUCAGGCGGUUGGUUACAGAUGGCUUCCGGCGCAAAACCACUUGUGUUGAGAGGGACAUGGGUUUCUUGUCCUCCUCAUCUUCCUCUUCAUCUUCUUCCACCCUGAACAGACACUUCCGCCCACUGGCUGUGGGUUUUAAGCUUGCGGGUGGCACCGUAGAGAGUGCUGGUCCAGCCAACUCAGGGAGGUCAUCUUUCUUAGCUGAGUCACACAGGCCUUUGCUCCUGUGGCCAUUGAGGACACUGUCAGCAGCCCGAGCAGGAGACUGAGGGACAGUCGCGUGGGACAAAGGAGUGGCCGUGAGGUCAUCCUCAAGGUCCUGGGGUACAUCAAUUUUGGUUGGCCAUGACUGCCUAUGUAACAGAUAGAUUGGGGGGAAAAAAGCCAUAUAAUCAUUAUGCAGAUGAUAGUAAAGUACAUCACAAUGAACUUACUGGGACAAAAUCUACAGACUUAAAGAAAAAAGCAGCAGCCUUGCAAACCCAUUCAACAUCCUGUAAACAUCAGCAAGGCCACCAGAAGGGCAAAUGUGGUUUUGAAACAUGGUUCAGUUUGUGGCUUAUUGGCCAAGUGAAAACUUCAUCACAGGUGUCAGAAAAGAAAAUAGGGCAAAGAGCUACUCCAUCUUUUCUAUACAAAAGCUUUAUACUAAACAUUUUUUAGAAGCCCAUGGAGGUUAUUGGCAAAGCAAAACCUGAACACCACGUCUUGUUUCUUUGGUUCUUAGAUCACAUAAAGGUAUAUUACUACAAAUAAAAUUCACCUGAAA
ensembl:lncRNA SNRK-AS1 SNRK antisense RNA 1